GACGAACGCUGGCGGCGUGCCUAAUACAUGCAAGUAGAACGCUGAAGCGAGGAGCUUGCUCUUCUUGGAUGAGUUGCGAGCGGGUGAGUAACGCGUAGGUAACCUGCCUUGUAGCGGGGGAUAACUAUUGGAAACGAUAGCUAAUACCGCAUAACAAUGGAUGACACAUGUCAUUUAUUUGAAAGGGGCAAUUGCUCCACUACAAGAUGGACCUGCGUUGUAUUAGCUAGUAGGUGAGGUAAUGGCUCACCUAGGCGACGAUACAUAGCCGACCUGAGAGGGUGAUCGGCCACACUGGGACUGAGACACGGCCCAGACUCCUACGGGAGGCAGCAGUAGGGAAUCUUCGGCAAUGGGGGCAACCCUGACCGAGCAACGCCGCGUGAGUGAAGAAGGUUUUCGGAUCGUAAAGCUCUGUUGUAAGUCAAGAACGGGUGUGAGAGUGGAAAGUUCACACUGUGACGGUAGCUUACCAGAAAGGGACGGCUAACUACGUG
rnacentral:rRNA from 1 species